rnacentral:lncRNA from 1 species
GGCAGGGACAUGGCGUAUGCUUGGAUCGCUGCGCGGUGGCAGCCUUUGCGAUUGGCGAUCUCAUCAUGCCGCCGAUUCCAGCUCCUCCCUUUUAUCGGAGGAGUAAUUCGGGUUCAGAGCGUCGGCGGCGCCGCACGCAUUCGGCUCCUCCUCCUCCUCCUCCUCCACCGUCCUCUCGCCCGCCCAUCAACCUGUCCUGCUCCAUGACCCACCGCCUAGGGUUAAUG